rnacentral:rRNA from 1 species
ACACGGACCAAGGAGUGCAGCAGUCGCGCGAGUAGUUCGGGUGUGGAAACCCGUCUCGAUGCGCAAUGAAGGUGAAGGCGGGACGUGUGGCCCGCCGAGGCGAGAGCCGUUCGCGCGGCGCAUCGUCGACCGAUCCGUUGCCACGCCGUGGCGGGAUUCGAGUGAGAGCGUUGCUGUUGCGACCCGAAAGAUGGUGAACUAUGCCCGAGUAGGGCGAAGCCAGAGGAAACUCUGGUGGAAGCCCGCAGCGGUUCUGACGUGCAAAUCGAUCGUCAAACUUGGGUAUAGGGGCGAAAGACUAAUCGAACCAUCUAGUAGCUGGUUCCCUCCGAAGUUUCCCUCAGGAUAGCUGGAGCCCGUUGCGCAGUUUUAUCAGGUAAAGCGAAUGAUUAGAGGUCUUGGGGUCGAAACGACUUCAACCUAUUCUCAAACUUUAAAUGGGUAAGACGUCCGGCUUGCUCGAGCGAAGUCGGGCCACGAAUGCCGGGGCUCCCAGUGGGCCAUUUUUGGUAAGCAGAACUGGCGAUGCGGGAUGAACCGAACGCCGGGUUAAGGUGCCCGAAUCGACGCUCAUCAGAUCCCAGGAAAGGUGUUGGUUGAUCUAGACAGCAGGACGGUGGCCAUGGAAGUCGGAAUCCGCUAAGGAGUGUGUAACAACU